CAAUUUUAACCAAAAAAAAAUUUUAUUCACUUUUCAUUUUCUUUCGUUUCCCUCUCUCUACUCCCUCAAACUCAAAUCCUCUCUCUCUCUCUCUCCAAGUUCAAAACCCUAACCCCACCAUCCAGCCACCUCGUCUCCCUUUCACCCUCUCUCUGUUAUUCGGAUUAAAGCUUUGUGGUUUCAGAUUUGUGGUUUUAGUUUCUGAAAUUUUGCGGUUUAGCCUUUUUUUUGUAUGGUUUAAUAUUUGUGGUUUCGGUUUCAGAAAUGUCCUUGCAUUUUGGUUUCAGAAAUGUCCAUGUUUGCAUCUUCGGAUUUGAUGUUUUUUCAGGCUUUGGAUUUGCUUCUCAGGAUAUUUACCUUCAUGGGUAUUUUAGUGCUUCCAUUAAAUUACCUUCUGAUUACACUGCUGGAAUUGUUGUUGCAUUCUAUGUGAGUUACAACACCACUUUUUUAUGUUAUUAAUUUUUUAUAUUUAUUGAUUUUAUUUUUUAAAGUGUGCAUUUUUUUUAACUCCUUUAUCAAGUUGAAGAUUUGAAGCUUGGUUGUAAACUUUAUGUUAUGACUUUGAGUGACAAAAAAAAAUUAUCAUUAUUAUGUUUUCUGCUUUUGACCCUUUUUUCUGCAAAAGUUUAUUGCUUUUGUUUGAAAUUAUGAAGAAGAAGAAAAAAGAAAAGUAAUUUAAGUUAUUCAUCAAAUGUUAUUUAUGUUGUAGUUAUCAAAUGGGGACAUGUAUGAGAAGAACCAUGAUGAAAUAGACUUUGAAUUUUUGGGAAACAGAAGGAUGUUAAUUGUUUCUAUUUGCCAACCCUAUUGUUCUAACUGUGUAAUGCUGAAUGAAGGUUAAUCUAUUUAGUGAGAACACUUGCAGGCUGAGAAGGCAACAUUUGAAGAAGAAAGAAGAGGAGGAUUGAAGCCACCAUGUGAUGCUGAUGGUUACCAUCCAGUCCUUUAUAUAGAGUUUCAGAGAGAUCAGGAAAAUGAAAGGAUUGAAGCAAAAGAAAGCCAUAUCAUGGAGAUUCAGAUUAAUGGUGGUACUAUUGCCCAGAAGGUUGACUUUGCAUACAACUUUUUUACUUUUUUUAGAAGCAUUCAAUUGGCUUGCACUUGAUAAGCAUCCUUCCAUUGUUCAAUUGAGCAACACGUCAAGCGUGCGUUAGUCGGUGUUACGCCAGAUAAGGAUCCUUUUGGUGGUCAAGAUGUAGAUGUUUCAUCUCUGGGAUGGGCGAUGUCGGCAGUCUUAUAUAGUGCGAUAUACUUUUGUCUCAUUUUCUCUUUUGUUGUUAGCUUAUGGUUGUUAUUCAUUCAUUUUAUAGAAAAAGAAAAUAGACAGAAAGAAGAGAUGACACGACCAGAGGCAUUUUGCAGCCCAAGUUCUACUUUUCUCAUCGAUUCUCUUAAGGCUGGGGUCAUAGCUCAUCGACGGGGGCAAACAAAUGGAUGUUUAAGAGUCGUGGCAUUAUUAGUGCGGAAAUGGCGUGGGACUAAUGAAAGUUAAUGAUAUUUUCUAUAGAAAAUCACAAGAAACGGUUAGUAUAUCAUCGACUCUAAGUUGAAGUUAAUUCUCCAUUUGAGAAUUGUAAACUUCUGAAUUGAAUAUCAAAAUUUGUUUCAAAUUGGAAGCAUGUAGUAAUUAGACCAUUUGGCUAGAGCAUUUGGAGUUUUUUGUUCGAAGGAAUAUGGUGUGAUUUAUAUACCUGGAACAAGGACUGGUCAUUUUCGGUUCAGGUACUGCUAGCAAUACAAUUGACCGGGAUUUAUUUCAUGAUUGUUGGUCCAUAACCAUUUUCUUAUGUGUUAUUUACAGCUUGAAGGAGUGAUCAAUGAGAUAGAAAGUAUAAAGCUACAACGAGUUGAUACAUUUCACACCAUUGCUGGUUGCUCUUUCCAAUAUGCUUUGUCGCUGAAAUUUUGUUCAUUUCCUUGAUGUAGUUAGCUUCCUACAUGCGAUACUAAAUACUAAUUUUUAAAGUUUAUUUUAUUUAGAGAACUAAUUUUUAAUGUUUCUUUUAUUUUUGCUGGCAAAAUUCCAUGUUUUUGUUUCUGGUAUAAACUAAACCUGCAGUUUUCUAUUCCUUAGAAUCAAUGGAAAAUAAUAAGGCUCUUAAAAAAUUGACAAUUGAAUAAGUUAAUCAGCUUCUUAAUUUUGUGUAAUCAUACCAUCUGAAAACCUAAAUAAAUUUUAGGUUAACAUGUGAAUGUGAUUGGUUUCAUAAUAGCCGUAGAAAUGACAUAAUUUGUUAUAGUACCAAUCAUCAUAAUUAUAGUAAUUGACAAUAUUUGGUUGAGUAAUUGUCUUCCAUUUUGUAGCUUUUUUUCUAAAAAUAAUCUUUGAUUUGCAUUCUAUAUAGAAAACUCAACAUUUUUUCUUUAAUUUGAGUAAUAACUAAAUUAAAUUUGAACUCAUUCUCAAUAACUUGAUCGGAAACUGAUUUUGAAAAUCUUUUCUACGACAUUUGUGGACGCACAGGUAAUCAAACUAAAAACCGUGCGAACGUACGAGUUAUUAUAUUUUUUUGUACGAUUAAAAAAUUAAAAUAAUGCACGAGAAAAA